CCUACGGGUGGCAGCAGUAGGGAAUCUUCCACAAUGGGCGAAAGCCUGAUGGAGCAACGCCGCGUGGGUGAAGAAGGUCUUCUGAUCGUAAAACCCUGUUGUUAGAGAAGAAAGUGCGUGUGAGUAACUGUUCACGUUUCGACGGUAUCUAACCAGAAAGCCCCGGCUAACUACGUGCCAGCAGCCGCGGUAAUACGUAGGUGGCAAGCGUUAUCCGGAUUUAGUGGGCGUAAGGGGAACGCAGGCGGUCUUUUAAGUCUGAUGUGAAAGCCUUCGGCUUAAACGGAGGAGUGCAUUUGAAACUGGGAGACUGGAGUGGAGAAGAGGAGAGUGGAACUCCAGGUGUAGCGGUGAAAUGCGUAGAUAUAUGGAAGAACACCAGUGGCGAAAGCGGCUCUCUGGGCUGUAACUGACGCUGAGGUUCGAAAGCGUGGGUAGCAAACAGGAUUAGAUACCCUUGUAGUC
rnacentral:rRNA from 1 species